rnacentral:rRNA from 1 species
GAUGAACGCUGGCGGCGUGCCUAAUACAUGCAAGUCGAGCGAACAGACGAGGAGCUUGCUCCUCUGACGUUAGCGGCGGACGGGUGAGUAACACGUGGAUAACCUACCUAUAAGACUGGGAUAACUUCGGGAAACCGGAGCUAAUACCGGAUAAUAUAUUGAACCGCAUGGUUCAAUAGUGAAAGACGGUUUUGCUGUCACUUAUAGAUGGAUCCGCGCCGCAUUAGCUAGUUGGUAAGGUAACGGCUUACCAAGGCAACGAUGCGUAGCCGACCUGAGAGGGUGAUCGGCCACACUGUAACUGAGACACGGCCCAGACUCCUACGGGAGGCAGCAGUAGGGACUCUUCCGCAAUGGGCGAAAGCCUGACGGAGCAACGCCGCGUGAGUGAUGAAGGUCUUCGGAUCGUAAAACUCUGUUAUUAGGGAAGAACAAAUGUGUAAGUAACUAUGCACGUCUUGACGGUACCUAAUCAGAAAGCCACGGCUAACUACGUG